rnacentral:rRNA from 1 species
CAGUAGCCACGGGAAUACGAAGGGUGCAAGCGUUACUCGGAAUUACUGGGCGUAAAGCGUGCGUAGGUGGUGGUUUAAGUCCGUUGUGAAAGCCCUGGGCUCAACCUGGGAAUUGCAGUGGAUACUGGAUCACUAGAGUGUGGUAGGGGAUAGUGGAAUUUCCGGUGUAGCAGUGAAAUGCGUAGAGAUCGGAAGGAACAUCUGUGGCGAAGGCGACUAUCUGGGCCAACACUGACACUGAGGCACGAAAGCGUGGGGAGCAAACAGGAUUAGAUACCCCUGUAGUCCCUGUCUCUUAUAC